rnacentral:rRNA from 1 species
UGCAAGUGUGGUGCCAGCAGCCGCUGUAAUUCCAGUUCCAAAAGUGUAUAUUAAAGAUGUUGCAGUUAAAAAGCCCGUAGUUGAACUUUGGGUCAGGCUGGCCGUUCUGCAUCACCGCGAGUACUGGUCCGGCGUGACCUUUCAUUAUGGGGAACUUCAGGGCCUUCACAAAGGCUGGGGGGAACCAGGAUUUUUACUGUGAAAAAAUUAGAGUGUUUAAAGCAGGCCUCAGCUAGAAUCCAGUGGCACGGAAUAAUGGAAUAUGACGCGCGGUUCUAUUUUGUUGGUUUCUAGGACCGGCCGUAAUGAUUACUAGGUUUAGUUGGGGGCGUCAGUAUUCAGACGUCAGAGGUGAAAUUUAUGGAUGUGGGAAAGACUAAGUAUUGUGAAACCAUAUGCCA